GACGAACGCUGGCGGCGUGCUUAACACAUGCAAGUCGAACGGACAGGUCAGGCUUGCGCGGUACUCGCGUGGCGAACGGGUGGGUAACACGUACGUGAUCUGCCCUGCUCUCUGAGUUAAGCCUCUGCAGCUGGGUCUAAUAACUGCCGUGUACUUACUUCGCCUGCUGUGUGGUGGAGAGCUUUUGCGGUUUGGUAUGGGCCCGCGGCCUAUCAGCUUGUUGGUGGGGUAAUGGCCUACCAAGGCGACGACGGGUAGCCGACCUGAGAGGGUGAUAGGCCACACAGGGACUGAGACACGGCCCAGGCUGCUACGGGAGGCAGAAGUGGGGAAUAUUGCACGAUGAGCGCAAGCCGGAUGCAGCGACGCCGCGUGAGGGAUAACGGUCUUCGGGUUGUAGACCACUUUCACAAGGGACGAAGCGUGAGUGACGGUACCUGGAGAAGAAGCACCGGCCAACUACGUG
rnacentral:rRNA from 1 species